rnacentral:rRNA from 1 species
GUGGGGAAUAUUGGGCAAUGGGGGGAACCCUGACCCAGCGACGCCGCGUGGGUGAAGAAAUCCUUCGGGAUGUAAAGCCCUGUUGUAUGGGAAGAGCGGAAGACGGUACCAUACGAGGAAGCCCCGGCAAACUACGUGCCAGCAGCCGCGGUAAUACGUAGGGGGCAAGCGUUGUCCGGAAUUACUGGGCGUAAAGCGCACGCAGGCUGAAUUAUAAGUCGGUAGUAAAAGGCGGGGGCUCAACUUCCGUAUAUCUAUCGAUACUGUAAAUCUAGAGUAUGUGAGAGGGAAGCGGAAUUCCCGGUGUAGCGGUGAAAUGCGGAGAUAUCGGGAGGAACACCAGUGGCGAAGGCGGCUUCCUGGCACAAUACUGACGCUCAUGUGCGAAAGCUAGGGCAGCGAACGGGAUUAGAUACCCCGGUAGUCC